rnacentral:rRNA from 1 species
AUUGAACGCUGGCGGCAGGCCUAACACAUGCAAGUCGAGCGGAUGAAGGGAGCUUGCUCCUGGAUUCAGCGGCGGACGGGUGAGUAAUGCCUAGGAAUCUGCCUGGUAGUGGGGGAUAACGUCCGGAAACGGGCGCUAAUACCGCAUACGUCCUGAGGAGAAAGUGGGGGAUCUUCGGACCUCACGCUAUCAGAUGAGCCUAGGUCGGAUUAGCUAGUUGGUGGGGUAAAGGCCUACCAAGGCGACGAUCCGUAACUGGUCUGAGAGGAUGAUCAGUCACACUGGAACUGAGACACGGUCCAGACUCCUACGGGAGGCAGCAGUGGGGAAUAUUGGACAAUGGGCGAAAGCCUGAUCCAGCCAUGCCGCGUGUGUGAGGAAGGUCUUCGGAUUGUAAAGCACUUUAAGUUGGGAGGAAGGGCAGUAAGUUAAUACCUUGCUGUUUUGACGUUACCAACAGAAUAAGCACCGGCUAACUUCGUG